rnacentral:sRNA from 1 species
AUUGUGACAUGUUAAACAAAAACGCCCGGCAGGUGUACGCUGCCG